rnacentral:rRNA from 1 species
UAGGGAAUCUUCCGCAAUGGGCGAAAGCCUGACGGAGCAACGCCGCGUGAGUGAUGAAGGUCUUCGGAUCGUAAAACUCUGUUAUUAGGGAAGAACAAAUGUGUAAGUAACUAUGCACGUCUUGACGGUACCUAAUCAGAAAGCCACGGCUAACUACGUGCCAGCAGCCGCGGUAAUACGUAGGUGGCAAGCGUUAUCCGGAAUUAUUGGGCGUAAAGCGCGCGUAGGCGGUUUUUUAAGUCUGAUGUGAAAGCCCACGGCUCAACCGUGGAGGGUCAUUGGAAACUGGAAAACUUGAGUGCAGAAGAGGAAAGUGGAAUUCCAUGUGUAGCGGUGAAAUGCGCAGAGAUAUGGAGGAAAACCAGUGGCGAAGGCGACUUUCUGGUCUGUAACUGACGCGGAUGUGCGAAAGCGGGGGGAUCAAACAGG